ACGGGUCCGCCGCUUGAGCUACACUCCAACCCAUCAUGUUUCUGACGCUGACCACGGAUGAAUUGGCAGCUGUUAUUGAGGCAAGUCGAGAAGGGUCGGCGCUGAGAGGUGCCGGCCUUUUUCUUU
rnacentral:sRNA from 1 species